rnacentral:rRNA from 1 species
CGGGACGGGGUGGAGUAAUGUCUGGGAAACGUGCCUGAUGGAGGGGGAUAACUACUGGAACGGUAGCUAAUACCGCAUAACGUCGCAAGACCAAAGAGGGGGACCGUUCGGGCCUCUUGCCAUCGGAUGUGCCCAGAUGGGAUUAGCUAGUAGGUGGGGUAACGGCUCACCUAGGCGACGAUCCCUAGCUGGUCUGAGAGGAUGACCAGCCACACUGGAACUGAGACACGGUCCAG